rnacentral:rRNA from 1 species
UACGAAGGGAGCUAGUGUUGUUCGGAAUCACUGGGCGUAAAGCGCACGUAGGCGGAUUUGCCAGUCAGGGGUGAAAUCCCGGGGCUCAACCUCGGAACUGCCUUUGAUACAGCAAGUCUUGAGUUCGAGAGAGGUGGGUGGAAUUCCUAGUGUAGAGGUGAAAUUCGUAGAUAUUAGGAAGAACACCGGUGGCGAAGGCGGCUAACUGGUCCAGCACUGACGCUGAGGUGCGAAAGCGUGGGGAGCAAACAGG